rnacentral:piRNA from 1 species
UGCUAAGCCAAUUUCCUCCAUCCCCAC